rnacentral:rRNA from 1 species
GAUGAACGCUAGCGGCAGGCCUAACACAUGCAAGUCGAGGGGCAGCACGUCUUCGGAUGGUGGCGACCGGCGCACGGGUGCGUAACGCGUAUGCAACCUACCUCUUACAGUGGGAUAGCCCAGAGAAAUUUGGAUUAAUACCGCAUAGUAUACAGAUUCAGCAUUGGGACUGUAUUAAACAUUUAUGGGUAAGAGAUGGGCAUGCGUUCUAUUAGUUAGUUGGAGUGGUAACGGCACCCCAAGACAGCGAUAGAUUAGGGGCCCUGAGAGGGGGAUCCCCCGACACUGGUACUGAGACACGGACCAGACUCCUAC